rnacentral:rRNA from 1 species
GAUGAACGCUGGCGGCGUGCCUAAUACAUGCAAGUCGAGCGAACAGACGAGGAGCUUGCUCCUCUGACGUUAGCGGCGGACGGGUGAGUAACACGUGGAUAACCUACCUAUAAGACUGGGAUAACUUCGGGAAACCGGAGCUAAUACCGGAUAAUAUAUUGAACCGCAUGGUUCAAUAGUGAAAGACGGUUUUGCUGUCACUUAUAGAUGGAUCCGCGCCGCAUUAGCUAGUUGGUAAGGUAACGGCUUACCAAGGCAACGAUGCGUAGCCGACCUGAGAGGGUGAUCGGCCACACUGGAACUGAGACCCGGUCCAGACUCCUACGGGAGGCAGCAGUAGGGAAUCUUCCGCAAUGGGCGAAAGCCUGACGGAGCAACGCCGCGUGAGUGAUGAAGGUCUUCGGAUCGUAAAACGCUGUUAUUAGGGAAGAACAAAUGUGUAAGUAACUAUGCACGUCUGGACGGUACCUAAUCAGAAAGCCACGGCUAACUACGU